rnacentral:rRNA from 1 species
GACGAACGCUGGCGGCGUGCUUAACACAUGCAAGUCGAACGAUGAAGCUGGAGCUUGCUCCGGUGGAUUAGUGGCGAACGGGUGAGUAACACGUGAGCAAUCUGCCCUUGACUCUGGGAUAACUGCGGGAAACUGUAGCUAAUACCGGAUACUUUCACUGGAAGGCAUCUUCUGGUGAAGAAAGAAUUUCGGUCAAGGAUGAGCUCGCGGCCUAUCAGCUUGUUGGUGAGGUAACGGCUCACCAAGGCGACGACGGGUAGCCGGCCUGAGAGGGUGACCGGGCACACUGGGAAUGGGACACGGCCCAGACUCCUACGGUAGGCAGCAGUGGGGAAGAUUGCACAAUGGGCGCAAGCCUGAUGCAGCAACGCGGCGUGAGGGAUGAAGGCCUUCGGGUUGUAAACCUCUUUUAGCAGGGAAGAAGCGAAAGUGACGGUACCUGCAGAAAAAGCACCGGCUAACUACGUGCCAGCCGCCGCGGUAA